rnacentral:rRNA from 1 species
UACGGAGGGUGCAAGCGUUGUCCGGAAUCACUGGGCGUAAAGGGCGCGUAGGCGGCUCAUGAAGGCUGUGGUGAAAGUCCGGGGCUCAACCUCGGAUCGGCCGUGGCGACUCGUGGGCUGGAGCACUGUAGAGGCGGGUGGAAUUCCGGGUGUAGCGGUGGAAUGCGUAGAGAUCCGGAAGAACACCAGUGGCGAAGGCGGCCUGCUGGGCAGUUGCUGACACUGAGGCGCGACAGCGUGGGGGAGCAAACAGG